rnacentral:SRP_RNA from 1 species
AUUGAAAGCCGGUAAAGGGGCGUUGCUUAAUCUGUCAGGUCCGAGAGGAAGCAGCAGGAGCAAAUUGCCUACCUUGUACCGGCUUUCUUAUUC